CCUACGGGUGGCAGCAGUGAGGAAUAUUGGUCAAUGGACGAGAGUCUGAACCAGCCAAGUAGCGUGAAGGAUGACUGCCCUAUGGUUUGUAAACUUCUUUUAUAUGGGAAUAAAAUGUUCCACGUGUGGGAUUUUGUAUGUACCAUAUGAAUAAGGAUCGGCUAACUCCGUGCCAGCAGCCGCGGUAAUACGGAGGAUCCGAGCGUUAUCCGGAUUUAUUGGGUUUAAAGGGAGCGUAGGUGGAUUGUUAAGUCAGUUGUGAAAGUUUGCGGCUCAACCGUAAAAUUGCAGUUGAAACUGGCAGUCUUGAGUGCAGUAGAGGUGAGCGGAAUUCGUGGUGUAGCGGUGAAAUGCUUAGAUAUCACGAAGAACUCCGAUUGCGAAGGCAGUUCACUGGACUGCAACUGACACUGAGGCUCGAAAGUGUGGGUAUCAAACAGGAUUAGAUACCCGGGUAGUC
rnacentral:rRNA from 1 species